GAUCCUGGCUCAGGAUGAACGCUAGCUACAGGCUUAACACAUGCAAGUCGAGGGGCAGCAUGGUCUUAGCUUGCUAAGGCCGAUGGCGACCGGCGCACGGGUGAGUAACGCGUAUCCAACCUGCCUUACACUCUUGGACAGCCUUCUGAAAGGGAGAUUAAUACAAGAUGUUAUCAUGAGUAAGCAUUUUCGCAUGAUUAAAGGUUUGCCGGUGUACGAUGGGGAUGCG
rnacentral:rRNA from 1 species